GCAAGGACAGAUGUUGACCACUCUCCACCUCUGGGCCCCCCUUUUCAUCCUUUCUACCUGUGAAACUUCCAUUUUGUAAUACUCCCGUUCUGAAGGCCCUCCCGGUGCCAGACUCAGGAUUAUCAGGUCUUCUCUCGAUCCACUUGGAGUUGAGUCUUUGUUUGUCUCGCUGAGGCUAUGUGAACAGCACAGUCUCAGGGAUCACAGUGUAUGCAAACACCCUGCAACAGCAUGAUGUAUGCAUGUACACCGAUGUAUGCAUGUAACCGACCGAAACGAACGUGUGCUCGCUUCUUGGUUGCUUCCCACGUUGGACAGCGAUCACUAGCAUGGGUGUCCUGGUGUCCCCAAAAGAAUUCUCCAGUCACCCUUUGUUCACGGGAGGCACACCGCAUAGGAUGGAAGACACCACAGCAUCUUUUCUUGUCAUUGGCUCUGUCACUGCUUUCACCUGGGGAAGGACUGUGACGGGCAGGUGCCAGCACCCCUCUGCCUGGUUCACUCUGAGCUCCCAGUUUAGGCUCUGGCCGGCUUUCCUGCAGGGAAGGUGUCAUGGUUCUUUGGCUCUACUACAUCUGGGAUACAGCAGACAAGUAGCCAGAACAGAGGGCAGCUCAACCAGGACCCUCCGUGGAUACUUGCGAAGAUGACAGAUGGGUAGAGCUUGUCACAAGGGCCCUCAGCUCUGGUCAGUUCCUGGGUCAGAAGCAUCCAGUGGUAUCCACCAUACCUAGUCGGACUGACAGCCAAGGAGUACUAGGGAUCUCCUUCCCCCUACCUAACUCUCUAGCCCCCCCGCCAUUCCUAUGCAGUAUUUCUCACCAGACUUUGUUCUUUCCAAAAGUGGAGCAGGACUACACCCUCAGACUCAGAGUUAUAUUUUCCCUGCUUGGUUGCCCCGCUCCUUGGGCCACCCUAUGGCUCUCUUAGGUCUGCUCGAAGGAGAUCUUCUCAGACUCUCUCAAGCCCUGAAUCCCAACUCCUCUCCUCACUGGUCUCAUUUAAUUUGAGGCCCCUUCUUUAGACACUUGUUUUGCUACCACCUCACGAGGUCCACAAAGAUUUUGUCUUAGGAUUCUGAUGCAAGUAAAGAAAUGUGUUUUGCCAUCAUCCUUGGGGCUGGAGAGAUGGCUCAGCUGCUCCAGUCACUGCGUGUUCUUUCAGAGGGCCCAUGGUUGAUGCCAAAAAUCCAUAUCAUAGCUCACAACUCCAGUUCCGAGGGAACUGAUGCCUUCUUCUGGCCUCUGUGGGAACUGCACAAGUGGUAUACAAGCAUACAUGUAGGCAAAACAUCUAUGCAUAUAAAAUAAAAAAUAAAAGUUAAAAAGAUCCAGUCCCAUCAUCCCCUCAAAGCCUACCUCACAUGGUAUCACGGAGUUCUAUCCCUUGCUAUGUCUCCCCUUCUCGAUAAGUCUCUUUCGUGGUGACCCCCUUGUAUGGGCUAAAACUCCUCCAACCAUAUUAAAGCCUCCGGAAUCAAGGAAGACAAACUUUGGGGACUUGGGGAGCAACUCGUCAGGAUUCUACUGCAGGAGAGGUGUGGAAGAUAGUUCCCCAAGUGACCUUAGACCUACCCAGUUCUUCCCUCUUACGCCUGGUCAUUCUCAAGAAUAAACAGA